rnacentral:rRNA from 1 species
UACGUAGGGGGCAAGCGUUGUCCGGAAUCAUUGGGCGUAAAGAGCGUGUAGGCGGCUCGGUAAGUCCGCUGUGAAAGUCCAGGGCUCAACCCUGGAAUGCCGGUGGAAACUGUCGAGCUCGAGUCCGGAAGAGGAGAGUGGAAUUCCUGGUGUAGCGGUGAAAUGCGCAGAUAUCAGGAAGAACACCCGUGGCUAAGGCGGCUCUCUAGUACGUGACUGACGCUGAGACGCGAAAGCGUGGGGAGCGAACAGG